rnacentral:rRNA from 1 species
AUGGAGGAGAUACCGAGCCUCCCGGGUCGAGCGACUCCGGAGGUCCCCGCCGCCACUCUCCGGCCGACCUCCACUAGACCACCCCUCCCCUCGCCGUCGCCGGAGGAGGCCGCCGGGCGAAGCCCCGUGGCGGACGGCGGCGGCGAGGCUGCGUGCAGCCUCCUCUCCAGCCUGCUGCGUUCUCUCCUUCUCCCUCAGAUCCAAAAUCCUCCCCACGCCUCCUGCUUCCAUGCUUGCUUGGCUACGGCUGCCGGCCGUCUAAAUGCAUCGGCUGCCCCUGCUCUAGCCCCAUGGCUGCCGGAUGUGGCUGCUGGUCCUUGUGGACGGGGUGCUGACCGGUAA